rnacentral:piRNA from 1 species
UUUCUUGUCGGGCUGAUCUGGUUGUGAUGU